GACUUGAAAGUGUUUGAUGACUCAAAGACAGAAGUUGAUGAGCAGGUUUUUGAUCUCCUGUUGAAAAACCCAAACCUUGGUGUGUUGGAGAUUUGUCUGUCCGAAGAUACAAAUCCAGAAGGUGAAGUUUUUCUUUUAAAUUGUAAUUUAUCUAUUUUGUUUUGAAUGGUUUUGGGUAAAUUCCCCUUUGAUGCCUGAAUUUAUUUCCAAGGGAAAUAAUCUGAGUUUUUCCUUUUAAAGUACAUGCUAAAUUAAGAACAUUUUUGAGCUGAAGAGUUUUGAUUGUAUAUUUGCAUCAAUAGGAGUCUAAGGGUUAAUGAUUUCUUUGACAGGAUAGUGUGGAGAACAAAACACGGGCAAAUAAGUGAGUUUUUUAUCCUAUUGCUGUCUUAGACAAGAUAAUAAAUCUGCUAAACUGUUAAGUCGGUCAGUAUUUAAAAAUCUUUGUUUUUACUUUUUUUGUUUUUGCUAUCAUACUAAUUUAAAUAUUACAGUAACUGAAAGCUUUAAUACUUUGACAGAUCAGCCGAGUUGUCCUGCAUAGAGCUGCAAUACCAGUUCAAGUGGAGAUACUGAAGUGGACUCAGAUGACACCAUAAUAUUACAACACAGUCCUACAACAAAUGAAGACUUGAAGACACCUCUCUUUCCAAAGUGGUUGCUGUCAUUGGUGAGGAUGCAUCAUCCGUUGAAGGUCAUGUGAAUGUCCUGCAUAUCCAGUACAGCAAGGUGCGAGAGGAUAUACC